GAUGAACGCUAGCGGCAGGCCUAAUACAUGCAAGUCGAACGGAUAUAUGUUUUUCGGAAUAUAUAUUAGUGGCGCACGGGUGAGUAACACGUACAUAACUUGCCCUCAAGCGGGGGAUAGCCUUGGGAAACUGAGAGUAAUACCCCAUAGAAUUAUUGGACGGCAUCGUUUGAUAAUUAAAACUACGGUGUUUGGGGAUAGAUGUGCGUCUGAUUAGCUAGUUGGUGAGGUAACUGCUCACCAAGGCGACGAUCAGUAGGGGGCGUGAGAGCGUGGCCCCCCACACGGGUACGUGAGACACGGACCCGACUCCUACGGGAGGCAGCAGUAAGGGAAUAUUGGUCAAUAGGAGGGGAACUCUGAACCAGCCAUGCCGCGUGAAGGA
rnacentral:rRNA from 1 species